rnacentral:rRNA from 1 species
UACAGAGGGUGCGAGCGUUGUUCGGAAUUACUGGGCGUAAAGCGCGCGCAGGCGGCCCUUUAAGUCUACCCGUGAAAUGCCGGAGCUCAACUCCGUGCACGCCGGGGGAUACUGGGGGGCUGGAGACAUGUAGAGGCAAGCGGAAUUCCGGGUGUAGCGGUGGAAUGCGUAGAGAUCCGGAAGAACACCUGAGGCGAAGGCGGCUUGCUGGGCAGUUGCUGACACUGAGGCGCGACAGCGUGGGGAGCAAACAGG